rnacentral:lncRNA from 1 species
CCCCGGUCUCCUCUUCGAGUUGUCCUCCAGACCACAAGGUGGCGCAUUAUGCUACAUUCAAAAUGAGAAAAACCUUCAAUGAAGAAGUUAAGAAGAACAUUCUUUUCGGAAUCAAACGAACCCAAAACUGCAUAAUAAUGUCUGAAAAGCAUAGAAACCUUCCUCCCUGGAUGGUGAAAUCUGACGUUCAAAGAAGCAAAGACAAUGAAGCGGUGCUAAAGAAAACGCGUGGUGAAACUACAAAAAGGAUAGCGAAGAAGCGGCUCAAAAGUGUCAAGUACUGGAUGAACGAGCGGGAGCUCGUGGAAACAGCGCUCAACCUUUUGAAGGAUGAUAAGGCAUGUGCUAAAGAUGCAAUGCAAGCCCCAGAGGAGCUAAGGAUCAUUCCGGAGACAGAUGAAGAUGUGCAGGACAGAACAAAUGUUUCAAACAUUGCAGAGCAGGAGACCGUGCCAUAUGGAAACUGCAUGCAGGAAAGUGCCAGAACAAAACCAGACUGCCAUCUGAAACCUCCUUCUGAUGGUUCAGGAGCUUCUGAGAAGCAUGAUGUGGAUGAUGAGGCUCUUGAACUUGUUAGAGAGAUUUUCUUCAAAUAAUUUAAACCUGACGUGAAACAGUGCUGGCUAACAUCAUUUUACCAAAUAAUAUUUAAAGAGAUACUUCAUCAUGUAGUCAUCCUCAUGCCAUUGCAAACCUGCCCGUUUUUCUUCUGUGUAGCACAAAAGAUAAUAAUUUGAAGAAUGAAGAAUUUUUGGUCCUUCAAAAAGGACCAAAAAUAGGCGUAAUGAAUCGGCCACUCUUAUGUGUUUUUUUUUAUUUUAUUAUAUUUGAAGCUUGACAACUUCAUAAUGAAUUAGUAACUUAUUGUCUGGAAAAUGAAUAUUAUUCAAAAUUUCUCUUUUGUGUUCCCUAGAGCAAAGAAAGUAAUUUGGGUUUGGGACGACAUGAGGGUGAGUAAAUAGUUUUUGGUGGAUUAUCUCUUUUUACUUUACUUUUGUUUCUUUUUUUUAUAUUGCAGCUUCAGGGAAUGAAAAUCUAGUUAUGAUUUGUAUGGGUUUUUUGUUCUGUUGGUUGAUGCCUGAACAAAGGUGAUUUCUGAUUUGUUUUCUAAACCAACUGCUCUAGUAACUGUCAUUUGCACGCUUGCACUUUCUAGAGUCCUUUGGGAAAGACAGCAACAACAAAGAACAAAUGAGAAUGUUCAAUGACAUGUAAGAAUAUAUUGUAUAUUUAUUAAUUUUUAUUAAAAAAAGAACCCUCCGAUU